CUCAUAUAAACUGAUACAAGACCCACGUUCUAGACUAUCCCUCAUAAAUGAUUCUCUUCCUAUUUUUCUUAAUCACGAACUUUGUUCAAUGCGUGGGGCUUGAAAUUUUUGCAAUUUCACAUCUCCCCCUCAAGGUAUCCGUAAUGAUUCUACAUUCAUGCACUCCGGAGUUCAAUUUUGAAGUAAAAUUUUGAAUUGCUAAAAGUUCGUCGGCAACAACAUUGUUAAACCAUGGUUAUGGAUUCGAAAUCAUCGGUUCACAAUUUCAUCCAGAAAAGUAUUUUUCACAAGGAGGAUCUGUGGGAUUCUUCUAAUGUGAUCGACAAAGGGAGUAUAUAUUCAGUAAUAAAGUAAGUUGUAUUUUGUCUAUUUUUCCCUUUAUUUAUCUAAUUUGGGUAUUAUUCUUCUCAUUCUGUUAGAGUUUUAUAGUAGCAACUUUUUUGGAUCUUUCUUCCUUUGGGCUAAACUUUUUUCAGGCAAUUCUUUUUCAAGAUUAAAUCAAAUUUCCUUUUCUAGUGGGCAUAUGAUUUGUAAACUCCCGGAUGUGCUCAAUAGGAUAUAGUUAAAGCUUUACCCUCUUGUGGCCAAGCUCCUGAGGUAAAAGUGGAGAAGCAAGCUUGGAUGCCAGUUAGAUUCAUUUUUUAAGUAUCCUACGCCACACAUUGUUUAGAGGUGGAAGCUAUUACAGUUGGCAUAAGUCGAACACACUUCUAUUUCAUUUCUUGAUCUUGAGAAGCACGAGUCAUCAAUUUCGUGAUGGUCAAGAGCAAGAACUAGAGUUGUCAAAGUAAAUUUGGAUCACAUCAAUUCUAUAAGUAGUUAAUUUCACUAACAUUUUCGUUUCUUCGUGCAUAUAGGCAAAGGUUUAUCUAAGAAUGGUAAAGCCCAAAAAUUUGCUUUACAGUAUUAGCUAGAAGCUAUAAGUAAAUUAUGUAUGCUAUCUUUCUUGAUUUUCUCUUUGUUUGAAACACACAAUGUGUGUUGAUUAUGUAUGUAAAUAUAUGAAAGCAACAAGACCCAACAUAUAUAAGGAAUCAAUGAAUAACAAAAUCAGAUUUCUUUCA